rnacentral:rRNA from 1 species
GAUUUCUGGCUUGAAACAUUUUGCCGGCCACGGUUUCGUGUGUUAGUGCUUGAUGUUCUGGCCAUCCUUCCAAUUGCUAUUAGCUAUUCUUCAUUGAAUGGUUAAUAGUAUUGGAUCUUUUACUUUGAAAAAAUUAGAGUGUUUCAAGCAGGCUUUAUGCUAUGAAUACAUUAGCAUGGAAUAAUAAUUUAGGACUUCGGUUCUAUUUUGUUGGUUUCUAGGACUGAAGUAAUGAUUGAUAGGGAUAGUUGGGGGUGCUAGUAUUCAGCGGCCAGAGGUGAAAUUCUCGGAUUCGCUGAAGACUAACUUAUGCGAAAGCAUU